GGCCACGAAAGACGACGGCAUCUAUUCAGCGUACAAUUGUAAUUUCGAAUAUAGCGUCGGACAUCGAUGCCCCGGAAUCUUCUUGAUACGAACUACGAAAUGCUGUCUGUGCAAACGCGUCGACGAAAUGCAGCGCGUGACAGACGAUAACAUCGAAAGCAGGAAAGGAGACCGAAAUGGAACAAAGAAACAGAUCGCGACGAUAACCCACAUUAGGCGCGGUAACUGUGCUCCGUGGUCCGGUCGCCUAGGAAACGGCCGCGCAUGCGCAACGCCACGUGACAGCGGCAGAACGCCGUUGGGGCCCGGCUGCGGACGACGUGGCUGCAAGUGCGGCGUAAUCCUGUUGGUGCUAUCAACGGACAAACUCUUCGACUUGGAAUGCGUCUCCACGUGUAUUCCUGACGCAAGCUUCGCCUGUCGGUAUCAGUGUGCGUUUUGCUGCCGUGGUGUCAUCAGCAAAGUUCAUCAUCGGUGAACCAGAAACAUUUAGUGUUGUGACAUCACGCCAGGCACAUCGCAAGAGCCUCUCUGCGAACUUCACCUUCAGUGUGCAUGUGAACAGAACUUUCGACGUGGCCCGUUCUACUGGGAUCUGCCCCAUGCAGGCGUAAUCCUGUUGGUGCUAUCAAUGGACACACUCUUCGACUUGGAAUCCCUCACCACGCGUAUUCCUGACUCAAGCUUCGCCUGUCGCUAUCAGUGUGCGCUAU
rnacentral:lncRNA from 1 species